CAGUAGCCGCGGUAAGACAGAGGAUGCAAGCGUUAUCCGGAAUGAUUGGGCGUAAAGCGUCUGUAGGUGGCUUUUCAAGUCCGCCGUCAAAUCCCAGGGCUCAACCCUGGACAGGCGGUGGAAACUACCAAGCUGGAGUACAGUAGGGGCAGAGUGAAUUUCCGGUGGAGCGAUGAAAUGCGUUGAGAUCAGAAAGAACACCAACGGCGAAAGCACUCUGCUGGGCCGACACUGACACUAAGAGACGAAAGCUAGGGGAGCAAAUGGGAUUAGAUACCCGGUAGUCCCUGUCUCUUAUACA
rnacentral:rRNA from 1 species